GAUGAACGCUGGCGGCGUGCCUAAUACAUGCAAGUCGAGCGAACAGACGAGGAGCUUGCUCCUCUGACGUUAGCGGCGGACGGGUGAGUAACACGCGGAUAACCUACCUAUAAGACUGGGAUAACUUCGGGAAACCGGAGCUAAUACCGGAUAAUAUAUUGAACCGCAUGGUUCAAUGGUGAAAGACGGUUUUGCUGUCACUUAUAGAUGGAUCCGCGCCGCAUUAGCUAGUUGGUAAGGUAACGGCUUACCAAGGCAACGAUGCGUAGCCGACCUGAGAGGGUGAUCGGCCACACUGGAACUGAGACACGGUCCAGACUCCUACGGGAGGCAGCAGUAGGGAAUCUUCCGCAAUGGGCGAAAGCCUGACGGAGCAACGCCGCGUGAGUGAUGAAGGUCUUCGGAUCGUAAAACUCUGUUAUUAGGGAAGAACAAAUGUGUAAGUAACUAUGCACGUCUUGACGGUACCUAAUCAGAAAGCCACGGCUAACUACGUG
rnacentral:rRNA from 1 species